GAUCCUGACUCAGAUUGAACGCUGGCGGCAGGCCUAACACAUGCAAGUCGAACGGUAACAGGAAGAAGCUUGCUUCUUUGCUGACGAGUGGCGGACGGGUGAGUAAUGUCUGGGAAACUGCCUGAUGGAGGGGGAUAACUACUGGAAACGGCAGCUAAUACCGCAUAAUGUCGCAAGACCAAAGAGGGGGACCUUCGGGCCUCUUGCCAUCGGAUGUGCCCAGAUGGGAUUAGCUAGUAGGG
rnacentral:rRNA from 1 species